AGGUAUCUUUUGUCAGCAGCAUGUCCCAGAAGAUUGGAGUGGAGAUAUGAGACCGCCAAGAUGUUAAAUGGAGAAAAGCCUGGAUUUGCAGAGCAAAGAUUAAGAACUAGCAUUUUUCAUCACUAAUCUACUGAAUUUCGAAGUGGCGUCUUCACACAGUUUGGAUGGGGCUUUUUCUUUCCAUUUCAAUACCGACUGAAGGUCACAGGUACAUAGCAGUAAUGUGUGCUGUCUGCCAUGAUUCCCCCAACUUCCCUGGUUUGCCUAGUAAACUUCUAGCUGUAUUAGAAUAUUUGGCAGUGCUUAAAAAUUGGCUUUUAACUUCUUCUUUUUUCAGCUUUUAAGCUAGGCCAAACAUCAUCUAUGUUCAUUAUUUGAAAAGCUCUCAGACUGUUCCAUCUCUUCAUAAUCAGGGGAUAGAGGAAAUUGUGAAUCUAUACUUCCAUAUGAACCCGAAAGGUUGAAAAUGAACUUAACAAAAACAUCAAAUAUUUGAAAUUUCAAUUGUUUCUCAUUCAUAAUAUUACUUCAAAACUUGCAAAUAGAUGUGAACAAAAGAAAGUGAAAAAAAAAUUCAGCAAACAAUAUGAUGUAACAGUAUAAUAGUUACCUGCUGAGAAGAAGAAGAAGAUAAUUUGGUACUCUUGUCUGCAUCCUCAGCGUCAAAAGCCCACUUCCCCGAAGAAACAUUUACUGAUGAAGGCGAUGUAUAAUCAGGAAUCCCAAAACUCGAAAUAUAGCCAUCGGAAUUAAUUUGGG
rnacentral:lncRNA from 1 species